rnacentral:rRNA from 1 species
CGCCUCUUGAAUCAGUAUAAGAGGUCCAGCCUGCCCAGUGACCCUGUUCAACGGCCGCGGUAUCCUAACCGUGCGAAGGUAGCGUAAUCACUUGUUCUUUAAAUGAGGACUAGUAUGAACGGCAUCACGAAGGUUAUACUGUCUCCUUUUUCUAAUCAGUGAAUCUAAUCUCCCCGUGAAGAAGCGGGAAUAUAACUAUAAGACGAGAAGACCCUAUGGAGCUUAAAACAACACAGCACUUGUCAAAAACUAAACAAUUCCAGAAUUUUUAAUUUCUAGGCAACAUGACUAUAAGUUUUUGGUUGGGGUGACCGCGGAGUAUAAUAUAACCUCCAUGUUGAAAGAAUUUUAUUCUAAGCCAAAAAGUACAUUUUUAAGCAUCAAUAAAUUGACAUCUAUUGACCCAAUAUAAUUGAACAACGAACCAAGUUACCCUAGGGAUAACAGCGCAAUCCACUUCAAGAGCUCCUAUCGACAAGUGGGUUUACGACCUCGAUGUUGGAUCAGGGUUUCCCAGUGGUGCAGCCGCUACUAAAGGUUCGUUUGUUCAACGAUUAAAACCCU